UACGUAGGGACCAAGCGUUGUUCGGAUUUACUGGGCGUAAAGGGCGCGUAGGCGGCUUAACAAGUCACUUGUGAAAUCUCCGGGCUUAACUCGGAACGGCCAAGUGAAACUGUCAAGCUAGAGUGCGGAAGGGGCAAUCGGAAUUCUUGGUGUAGCGGUGAAAUGCGUAGAUAUCGUAAGGAAGACCAGUGGCGAAGGCGGGUCUCUGGACAGUUCCUGACGCUGAGGCACGAAGGUCAGGGGAGCAAACGGG
rnacentral:rRNA from 1 species